rnacentral:tRNA from 1 species
GCAUGGCUGGCUCAGUCAGUAAAGCAUGGGACUCUUGAUCCUGGGGCUGUGAGUUCGAGCCCCAUGUUGGGUG